rnacentral:piRNA from 1 species
UCGCAACCACAAUGGUGGCACUCUGCC